UACGUAGGGGGCAAGCGUUGUCCGGAAUUAUUGGGCGUAAAGAGCGCGCAGGCGGUCUGCCAAGUCAGAUGUGAAAGAGGCCGGCUUAACCGGCAAGGGUCAUUUGAAACUGACAGACUAGAGUGCAGCAGAGGAUAGCGGAAUUCCCGGUGUAGUGGUGAAAUGCGUAGAUAUCGGGAGGAACACCAGUGGCGAAGGCGGCUAUCUGGGCUGCAACUGACGCUGAGGCGCGAAGGCUAGGGUAGCAAACAGG
rnacentral:rRNA from 1 species